ACUCCCAAAAGGUGAUGCCUUGACUUCAGAGCCCUGCCUAGGCAGGGACAGAGAUCCCUGUGCCGUACAGCUUUUUGGUCAAAUGAAGUGUGAUGCAAAGAUGAACCCAGACUCGCAUUCCAUCUCAUGAGGACGCUGGGAUGUUACACUGGUGUUGCAGGGGGGCAGUUGCCACAGGUAGCUGGGAAUUAGGCGGAAGGAGUCUGGUGGUUGCAGAUCAUCUGACACAGGAUUACUGAGCUAAUUCCCGAGGGGGGACUUUCCAUUCAAAUUGUAACUUGGAAAUUUUUAUAAGUGUGUUUGAACUUUGAACAGCAGCGUGGUUAAGUGAGUUCUGAUGUGUCACUUCACUCAUCUCUGUUCCUUUUUUUUUUUCUGUAUCUAUGAAGUUUUAUUUUUCUGGUUCAGUCAUAGGAAAUAAAUGAAGGUGCAUCAUUCAGUACAAAAUAGACAGUUGUAGGUAGGGUAUAGAUUGCUAAAAUUAGUGGUGCUGUUUGUACAGUUUGAGAAUUGCACUACCUGCUGCAGCAUCACCAGGGGGUGAUUUGGCAGUUGUGUCAUGGUUACCCCAAAACACUGGCCGUGGCUGUCAGCGGACACUGCGCCGUCCUUUCUGGCUGCUGGGCUUUCAAAUAAUAAAAACACCAGCUCUUUCCACCUUGGGGGAGAACUGAUGGUAAUUCAACUUGUAGCAUUUUGCAGGACAUGGAAAUGGCCACUGCCGUGUGAUACAACAAAAACCACUCUCAGUUUCCAUUCAUUCCUUAAAUGAAGCCACUUGUUCAUUGCUCUAACGGCUGGAUAAUAAUGUAAUUUUAGAGGAGUUUACUACCAUAGUGACUAAGAAAUAGCUGUGUGUUGAUUUUACUAGAAGUUUCCCAUCCAGUUGUACCAUACAAGUUUCUUGAUUGAGAUUUCAGUUGUUAUCUGGACUAAAACAGAAGGAAAUAAUCCGAUUUGUUUCCAGAAAAAAUAGGCUAUUUCGUCUUUUUUUUGCUCUAGCUUUGUCACUUUACCAAGAAGGCAACAUGUUUGUGUUGACAGAUUGGCUUUUAUACAAUGUAUUGUAUGAAGUACUGUAAGACAAAAAAGGUGUUAAAUAAAGUAUUGUUUCACUUAAAAAAAAAAAAAGUGUUCGAGGCA